rnacentral:rRNA from 1 species
CGCCCCCCAGCUAGCCCACAUCUAAAAGCAACAACCCACCAUUAAUACCCCCUCAUCACCCACAAAUCAAUAAACAAAUCAUUUUUCCACCUAAGUAUGGGCGACAGAAAAGGAACUUCGGAGCGAUAGAGAAAGUACCGCAAGGGAAUGCUGAAAAAGAAAUGAAAUAACUCAUUACAAGCCCUAAAAAGCAGAGAUUAUUACUCGUACCUUUUGCAUCAUGAUUUAGCCAGUACCCCUCUAGCAAAAAGAACUUUAGUUAGAGCCCCCGAAACCAAGUGAGCUACUCCAAGGCAGCCUAGCAAUAGGGCCAACCCGUCUCUGUAGCAAAAGAGUGGGAAGAACUUCGAGUAGAGGUGACAGACCUACCGAACUUGGUUAUAGCUGGUUGCCUGAGAAAUGAAUAGAAGUUCAGCCCCAUAGCCACCCUGUCUCACUUCAGCUUACUCAUAUUGACACAAGAAGAAACUAUGGGAGUUACUCAGAGGGGGUACAGCUCCUCUGACAAAAGACACAACUUUCCCGGGAGGGUAAAGAUCAUAAUUCUCAAGGUAAAGUAUUACGUAGGCUUAAAAGCAGCCAUCCAUAGUAAAAGCGUUCAAGCUUAAACUCACCCUUCGCUUAUAAUCCGGAUAAAUAUAUCUCAACCCCCCAACAUUACCGGGCCGCCCCAUACAAAUAUGGGAGUGAUCCUGCUAAUAUGAGUAAUAAGAGAAAUAACACUCUCUCCUAGCACAUGUGUAAAUCGGAACGAACUCACACCGAACUUUAACGGCCCCAAACACAGAGGGCAAUGAACAAAAAACAGAAAACCAGAAAUUCACCCAACAAUACACCGUUAAUCCCACACUGGUGUGCCAACAAGGAAAGAUUGAAAGAAAGAGAAGGAACUCGGCAAACACCAAAGCCUCGCCUGUUUACCAAAAACAUCGCCUCUUGCAAAUUUAAAGAAUAAGAGGUCCUGCCUGCCCUGUGACUAUAAGUUUAACGGCCGCGGUAUAAUGACCGUGCGAAGGUAGCGUAAUCACUAGUCUUUUAAAUGAAGACCCGUAUGAAUGGCUUAACGAGGGCUUAACUGUCUCCUCUUUCAAAUCAAUGAAAUUGAUCUCCCCGUGCAGAAGCGGGGAUAUGCCCAUAAGACGAGAAGACCCUGUGGAGCUUUAGACACAAGACAAAAUCACGUUCAGCACUUCAACACAAAGAAUAAAACUCUGUGAGCACACUUGCCUAAAUGUCUUUGGUUGGGGCGACCGCGGGGCAAUAAACAACCCCCAAGAGGACAGGGAGUAAACUCCUACACCCAAGAGCCACAGCUCUAAUUAACAGAACUUCUGACCACACGAUCCGGCAAUGCCGAUCAACGGACCGAGUUACCCCAGGGAUAACAGCGCAAUCCCCUUUUAGAGACCCUAUCGACAAGGGGGUUUACGACCUCGAUGUUGGAUCAGGACAUCCUAUUGGCGCAGCCGUCAUUAAGGGUUCGUUUGUUCAACGAUUAAUAGUCCUACGUGAUCUGAGUUCAGACCGGAGUAAUCCAGGUCAGUUUCUAUCUAUGAAGUGUUCUUUUCUAGUACGAAAGGACCGUAAAGAAGAGGCCCAUACCCCCCGCACGCCUCCCCCUUAGUUAAUGAUGUAAUCUAAAUUAAACAAAAGGACACCCCCCCCCCCGGCCGAAGACAACGGUAG